CAUCUACCUCGUGCAUACAUGUAUCUUUGGAUCAUUGUCAGGUUUUGGCUAUUGUACUGUUAACCCUAUUCAGUUAAAUAAGCUCAUUAAAGUUCGUUAUAAGUUUUUUACUUUUAAAUAGUUUGACCUAGGGUAUCACUGAAGACAUUAAAUGUCGAAAUGUAUCUCUGAAGCUGGUAUCGAUUAAUAUUUUGAGGCACGUGUUUGUUUGUGAGACAUGAAUAUUGAACCUUUUUUUGUCAAUUUUUGACGAAGAAAAAAGGUAUUUAGGAAAGAGAUACAUUAUAUUCAGCUACUCAAACAAGUCCACAAAACACUACAUAAGACUUUUAACUGACGAACCCCACCAGAAAACAAACUAAGUUUAUUAUCAUGUACUCCAGAACUAAACAGAUCCUACUCCACUAGUGGCACCUGACACGUUGCUCAUGGUACUUACGAAAUUUUGGUGGUAAGUCUAAAGACGGUGAUGUCAUAAUCGAGGAAAAGAAGACGGAAUUGUUAUUACGAUGAUUCGAACAUAAUGAUAUUGAACUGCGCCAGAUUUCUUUCGACAAUAAAUUUCUCUUCUUCGGUGAUUCUAGAGGUCAAAGUAUUUGAAAGUUUAAAUAUAAGAUAGUUCAUUAUUUCAUAGCUUGUUUGUGUCUUUUUUAGGUUGGGGGGGUGUAUUAGUUCAUUUGGUCUGUUGAGAGAGGGGAUUUGUUUUUUUUACAAUUUAUUAUUAUUUAUUCAAUUCAAUAUAUAUAUAUUACAACCGGUUAACAGAGACCUGAUGAUAUCAAAGGGGGUGCUUUUUUAUUAAGUAACUGAAACUAAAAAGUGAAAUGUUACACUUUCAACUGUACUGUCUUUCACUUUAACGCAAGUUUAAGCAACAAUUGUAGGUUGCAAAUACACUUUAUUUAACCAUAGGACUCAUAUACAUAUAAUUGAAACAUUCAGUCAUACAUACCAUCAAAUCUACCUCUAUUUGAUUCAUUUCUUGAUUUUUUUUGUGUUCACUGUUUAAAAUAUGUUGACAUUCGAAAUAAAAAUAACGCA
rnacentral:lncRNA from 1 species